GCUCGUAGUUGGAUUUCGGAUGGGGCCUGCCGGUCCGCCGUUUCGGUGUGCACUGGCAGGGCCCGCCUUGUUGCCGAGGACGGGCUCCUGGGCUUCACUGUCCGGGACUCGGAGUCGGCGCUGUUACUUUGAGUAAAUUAGAGUGUUCAAAGCAGGCCUACGCUCUGAAUACAUUAGCAUGGAAUAACACGAUAGGACUCUGGCCUAUCCUGUUGGUCUGUAGGACCGGAGUAAUGAUUAAGAGGGACAGUCGGGGGCAUUCGUAUUUCGAUGUCAGAGGUGAAAUUCUUGGAUUUUCGAAAGACGAACUACU
rnacentral:rRNA from 1 species